AGCUAAUACUUGCUUUAGCACUCUCGAUUUAUUUCUUGAGUGUGUACUUGUUAAGCCUUAUAAGAAAAGAGUUAUUAACUUAAGGAAUUAUAACAAAGAAGUAACACGUAAUGGAUCAUUCCAUUUUUAGUGUGUAUCAAUCGAGUUUCUGACCUAUCAGCUUUUGAUGUUAGGGUAUUGGCCUAACAUGGCUAUGACGGGUAACGGGGAAUUAGAGUUCGAUUCCGGAGAGGGAGCCUGAGAAAUAGCUACCACAUCUAAGGAAGGCAGCAGGCGCGUAAAUUACCCAAUUCUAAAGAAGAGAGGUAGUGACAAGAAAUAACAAUACAAGGCCAAUCUGGCUUUGUAAUUGGAAUGAUGGGAACUUAAAACCUUCCCAAAAUUCAAUUGGAGGGCAAGUCUGGUGCCAGCAGCCGCGGUAAUUCCAGCUCCAAUAGCGUAUAUUAAAAUUGUUGCAGUUAAAACGCUCGUAGUUGAAUUUCAAAGAAUCGAUAUUUUAAGUAACGCUUCUAGCUACAAAUCCACAUAACUGAUGCCUCCGCGUAUCGACUUUGUGCGCAUUUUAGCUAUUAUGUGUUCUUUUAAUUAAAAUGAUUCUUUUUAAGAUUCAUCUAUUAAAAAUUAGCUUCGGCAUAAUUUUUUUUGAUGAUCUUGUUACUUUGAGUAAAUUAGAGUGUUCAAAGCAAACAGAUAUAGCAUUUGUGCGUUUGAAUACUACAGCAUGGAAUAACAAAAUUGAACAAGUCAGAAUUUUUUUGUUCUUUUUUCUUAUUUUGGCUUAGUUACGAUUAAUAGGAGUAGCUUGGGGGCAUUUGUAUUCAGAUGUCAGAGGUGAAAUUCUUAGAUUUUCUGGAGACAAACAACUGCGAAAGCAUUUGCCUAAAAUACUUCCAUUAAUCAAGAACGAAAGUUAAGGGAGUGAAGACGAUCAGAUACCGUCGUAAUCUUAACCAUAAACUAUGCCGACUAGGCUUUGGAUGAAAGAUUUUAAAAUAAGAGUUUU
rnacentral:rRNA from 1 species